rnacentral:rRNA from 1 species
GACGAACGCUGGCGGCGUGCUUAACACAUGCAAGUCGAACGGAAAGGCCCUGCUUUUGUGGGGUGCUCGAGUGGCGAACGGGUGAGUAACACGUGAGUAACCUGCCCUUGACUUUGGGAUAACUUCAGGAAACUGGGGCUAAUACCGGAUAGGAGCUCCUGCUGCAUGGUGGGGGUUGGAAAGUUUCGGCGGUUGGGGAUGGACUCGCGGCUUAUCAGCUUGUUGGUGGGGUAGUGGCUUACCAAGGCUUUGACGGGUAGCCGGCCUGAGAGGGUGACCGGCCACAUUGGGACUGAGAUACGGCCCAGACUCCUACGGGAGGCAGCAGUGGGGAAUAUUGCACAAUGGGCGGAAGCCUGAUGCAGCAACGCCGCGUGCGGGAUGACGGCCUUCGGGUUGUAAACCGCUUUCGCCUGUGACGAAGCGUGAGUGACGGUAAUGGGUAAAGAAGCACCGGCUAACUACGUGCCAGCAGCCGCGGUGAUACGUAGGGUGCGAGCGUUGUCCGGAUUUAUUGGGCGUAAAGGGCUCGUAGGUGGUUGAUCGCGUCGGAAGUGUAAUCUUGGGGCUUAACCCUGAGCGUGCUUUCGAUACGGGUUGACUUGAGGAAGGUAGGGGAGAAUGGAAUUCCUGGUGGAGCGGUGGAAUGCGCAGAUAUCAGGAGGAACACCAGUGGCGAAGGCGGUUCUCUGGGCCUUUCCUGACGCUGAGGAGCGAAAGCGUGGGGAGCGAACAGGCUUAGAUACCCUGGUAGUCCACGCUGUAAACGGUGGGUACUAGGUGUGGGGUCCAUUCCACGGGUUCCGUGCCGUAGCUAACGCUUUAAGUACCCCGCCUGGGGAGUACGGCCGCAAGGCUAAAACUCAAAGGGAUUGACGGGGCCCCGCACAAGCGGCGGAGCAUGCGGAUUAAUUCGAUGCAACGCGUAGAACCUUACCUGGGUUUGACAUGGAUCGGGAGUGCUCAGAGAUGGGUGUGCCUCUUUUGGGGUCGGUUCACAGGUGGUGCAUGGCUGUCGUCAGCUCGUGUCGUGAGAUGUUGGGUUAAGUCCCGCAACGAGCGCAACCCUUGUUCACUGUUGCCAGCACGUUAUGGUGGGGACUCAGUGGAGACCGCCGGGGUCAACUCGGAGGAAGGUGGGGAUGACGUCAAGUCAUCAUGCCCCUUAUGUCCAGGGCUUCACGCAUGCUACAAUGGCUGGUACAGAGAGUGGCGAGCCUGUGAGGGUGAGCGAAUCUCGGAAAGCCGGUCUCAGUUCGGAUUGGGGUCUGCAACUCGAUCUCAUGAAGUCGGAGUCGCUAGUAAUCGCAGAUCAGCAACGCUGCGGUGAAUACGUUCCCGGGGCU